AUUGAACGCUGGCGGAAUGCUUUACACAUGCAAGUCGAACGGCAGCACGGACUUCGGUCUGGUGGCGAGUGGCGAACGGGUGAGUAAUACAUCGGAACGUGCCCAGUCGUGGGGGAUAACGUCGCGAAAGCUACGCUAAUACCCCAUACGAUCUAAGGAUGAAAGCGGGGGAUCGCAAGACCUCGCGCGAUUGGAGCGGCCGAGGGCAGAUUAGGCAGUUGGUAGGGUAAAGGCCUACCAAGCCGACGAUCUGUAGCUGGUCGGAGAGGCAUGAUCAGCCACACUGGGACUGAGACACGACCCAGACUCCUACGGGAGGCAGCAGUGGGGAAUUUUGGACAAUGGGCGCAAGCCUGAUCCAGCCAUUCCGCGUGCAGGAUGAAGGCCUUCGGGUUGUAAACUGCUUUUGUACAGAACGAAAAGGCUCUGGUUAAUACCCGGGGCUCAUGACGGUACUGUAAGAGUAAGCACCGGCUAACUACGUGCCAGCCGCCGCCGUAACAC
rnacentral:rRNA from 1 species